rnacentral:rRNA from 1 species
UACAGAGGUCUCAAGCGUUGUCCGGAAUCAUUGGGCGUAAAGAGCGUGUCGGCGGCCCGGUAAGUCCGCUGUAAAAGUCAAAGGCUCAACCUUUGAAUGUCAGUGGAUACUGCCGGGCUAGAGUCCGGAAGAGGCGAGUGGAACUCCUGGUGUAGCGGUGGAAUGCGCAGAUAUCAGGAAGAACACCAACGGCGAAGGCAGCUCGCUGGGACGGUACUGACGCUGAGACGCGAAAGCCAGGGGAGCGAACGGG